UCUGGCGGCAGUAGCGCGGUGGUCCCACCUGACCCCAUGCCGAACUCAGAAGUGAAACGCCGUAGCGCCGAUGGUAGUGUGGGGUC
rnacentral:rRNA from 3 species